rnacentral:rRNA from 1 species
GAUGAACGCUGGCGGCGUGCCUAAUACAUGCAAGUCGAGCGAACGGACGAGAAGCUUGCUUCUCUGAUGUUAGCGGCGGACGGGUGAGUAACACGUGGAUAACCUACCUAUAAGACUGGGAUAACUUCGGGAAACCGGAGCUAAUACCGGAUAAUAUUUUGAACCGCAUGGUUCAAAAGUGAAAGACGGUCUUGCUGUCACUUAUAGAUGGAUCCGCGCUGCAUUAGCUAGUUGGUAAGGUAACGGCUUACCAAGGCAACGAUGCAUAGCCGACCUGAGAGGGUGAUCGGCCACACGGGAACUGAGACACGGUACAGACUCCUACGGGAGGCAGCAGUAGGGAAUCUUCCGCAAUGGGCGAAAGCCUGACGGAGCAAAGCCGCGUGAGUGAUGAAGGUCCUCGGAUCGUAAAACUCUGUUAUUAGGGAAGAACAUAUGUGUAAGUAACUGUGCACAUCUUGACGGUACCUAAUCAGAAAGCCACGGCUAACUACGUG